AGAGUUUGAUCCUGGCUCAGGACGAACGCUGGCGGCGUGCCUAAUACAUGCAAGUCGAACGAGAGCGACCGGUGCUUGCACUGGUCAAUCUAGUGGCGAACGGGUGAGUAACACGUGGGUAACCUGCCCAUCAGAGGGGGAUAACAUUCGGAAACGGAUGCUAAAACCGCAUAGGUCCUUUAACCGCAUGGUUGAAGGAGGAAAAGAGGCGCAAGCUUCUGCUGAUGGAUGGACCCGCGGUGCAUUAGCUAGUUGGUGAGGUAACGGCUCACCAAGGCCGUGAUGCAUAGCCGACCUGAGAGGGUGAUCGGCCACAUUGGGACUGAGACACGGCCCAAACUCCUACGGGAGGCAGCAGUAGGGAAUCUUCCGCAAUGGACGCAAGUCUGACGGAGCAACGCCGCGUGAGUGAGGAAGGUUUUCGGAUCGUAAAACUCUGUUGUUAGAGAAGAACAAGUGCUAGAGUAACUGUUAGCGCCUUGACGGUAUCUAACCAGAAAGCCACGGCUAACUACGUGCCAGCAGCCGCGGUAAUACGUAGGUGGCAAGCGUUGUCCGGAUUUAUUGGGCGUAAAGCGAGCGCAGGCGGUUCCUUAAGUCUGAUGUGAAAGCCCCCGGCUCAACCGGGGAGGGUCAUUGGAAACUGGGGAACUUGAGUGCAGAAGAGGAGAGUGGAAUUCCAUGUGUAGCGGUGAAAUGCGUAGAUAUAUGGAGGAACACCAGUGGCGAAGGCGACUCUCUGGUCUGUAACUGACGCUGAGGCUCGAAAGCGUGGGUAGCAAACAGGAUUAGAUACCCUGGUAGUCCACGCCGUAAACGAUGA
rnacentral:rRNA from 1 species